CGGAGGUGCAAGCGUUAUCCGGAUUUAUUGGUUUAAAGGGUCCGUAGGCGGACUUGUAAGUCAGUGGUGAAUCUCAUAGCUUAACUAUGAAACUGCCAUUGAUACUGCAGGUCUUGAGUAAAUUUGAAGUGGCUGGAAUAAGUAGUGUAGCGGUGAAAUGCAUAGAUAUUACUUAGAACACCAAUUGCGAAGGCAGGUCACUAAGAUUUAACUGACGCUGAUGGACGAAAGCGUGGUAGCGAACAGGAUU
rnacentral:rRNA from 1 species